CCAAAAAUCAUAUGGAACAUAUGUAACCUGCAAUCACAAAUGGAAAGAGUUCUAUGGUCCCCAAUCAUAACUGGGUCCGGAUGGAUUAGAGAUUUUUCUUUAACAAUGGUAACAACAGAAGCAACCUUAACAUGCUAAUUCUUAUCUAGACAUUGCCCUAAUGUGAUUCUCAAACAUGCUUUUCUAAAAUCAAUGCAAUUACAAAGACAUGCAUUCAUGACAUGAAAAUAAGCAGACAUAUAUGAUGUUGAAUACACAUGGCAAACAAUCAAAGAUAAGACAAGAGCAAGACAGGCAGUUAUGCAAUUCAGAAGAUUUAAUACUCUCUACUUAAACCAAUUAACACAAGUGCAACAGGUAGCAAGUAGAAUUACAUAAUCUUCGAAAAGCAUAAGGAUCAUAGACAAAUUAAUAAUCACAUUAUCAAUCCAAACUAAUCCCACUCUGUUGUUAUAUGGCAUUAUACUAUCUCUAUUACCUAAGUCAGUUUUAGAUCUAACAUGAAGUUCUAAAAGUUCUACUGACACAAGGUAGACAUUCCAUCAUAGAACAAAAAAAUUCCUUAACAAACAAUUCAGAUUAGAUAAGCAAAUCUAAUUGUACUAGGGAAUCUGAAAGUAAGUGUUUUAACAAAGUUAUACAUGCUAGGAUCAUAACCCCUAAAACUAAGAGUUGUGUUCCAAAGGAAAGCUUCUAAUCUCACCAUUGCAAAUAAUCAAAUCCUAAAUAUUCAUACACAUGUUAAGAAUCUGCUAAAGACACAUGCACAAGAUUAUCAUCAAUCCUAGUUACCAGAACAGUGAUCUAGCAUACUAGUUCAACAUUAUCUAUUGUGAUGCUAUCAUGCUUGUGCUUGUGUGUUAAACAAUUCUACUCAGAGAUUUAUAACAUGCUUUGAAUAUAAAGAAAUAUGUAUUGCAUAGUUAGAAAGAAUUCGUACCUGAGAUGUGCGAGUUGAGUCAUCUUCAGAGAAUGCUAGGAUAGCCAGAUAACCAUAAUCAUCCUUCUCAUCAGCAACUGAUCCAGCUCACUCCAUCUUCAGUUGAAGUUCCAUAUUAGCUACGAGCAAAAUUCACAUCCUUCCUGAUUUGAGAUAAAACACUAUUCCAUGAACUGACAUACUGUCAUUUGUUAGAGAACAGUCUGAUACUAGGAAUUUGUGUGCUUUGACUCUUCCAAGAAAGAUAUGCUUCCAUGAUGACAUUCCAGGAAAACAGGCAUGUCCCGCAAGAGAAUCUUUGUUGUCAUCUUUCAAAGAUUAUUGACGGAACUGCUCACACGAUCACAUUUGCUAACAGGGUACUUUUUGUGAAUCAUAUGAUUUCAGCUACUCAGCAAACAGAGUGCACCAAAAAUCAUAUGGAACAUAUGUAACCUGCAAUCACAAAUGGAAAGAGUUCUAUGGUCCCCAAUCAUAACUGGGUCCGGAUGGAUUAGAGAUUUUUCUUUAACAGUGGUAACAACAGAAGCAACCUUAACAUGCUAAUUCUUAUCUAGACAUUGCCCUAAUGUGAUUCUCAAACAUGCUUUUCUAAAAUCAAUGCAAGUACAAAGACAUGCAUUCAUGACAUGAAAAUAAGCAGACAUGAUGUUGAAUACACAUGGCAAACAAUCAAAGAUAAGACAAGAGCAAGACAGGCAGUUAUGCAAUUCAGAAGAUUCAGUACUCUCUACUUAAACCAAUUAACACAAGUGCAACAGGUAUCAAGUAGAAUUACAUAUAUUCAAUAAUCUUCUAAGAGCAUAAGGAUCUGAUUCCAAUCUGUUGUUAUAUGGCAUUAUACUAUCUCUAUUACCUAAGUC
rnacentral:lncRNA from 1 species